UCUGCCCCUAGAAUCAUGGCUGGUGUGGCUGCUGUGUCACAUGUGCGUCAGUAGGUGGCCGAGAGGAGAAAGGCUGUAUCUAUGCUCAGUGUUCUGACCUACAAACACUAGCCUAACAGAACGGGUAGCCUAACAGU